UGGGGAAUAUUGCACAAUGGGGGAAACCCUGAUGCAGCCAUGCCGCGUGUGUGAAGAAGGCCUUCGGGUUGUAAAGCACUUUCAGUGGGGAGGAAAGGGUGCUGGCUAAUAUCCAGUAUCUAUGACGUUACCCACAGAAGAAGCACCGGCUAACUCCGUGCCAGCAGCCGCGGUAAUACGGAGGGUGCAAGCGUUAAUCGGAAUUACUGGGCGUAAAGCGCACGCAGGCGGUUGGAUAAGUCAGAUGUGAAAGCCCCGGGCUCAACCUGGGAACUGCAUUUGAAACUGUUCGACUAGAGUCUUGUAGAGGGGGGUAGAAUUCCAGGUGUAGCGGUGAAAUGCGUAGAGAUCUGGAGGAAUACCGGUGGCGAAGGCGGCCCCCUGGACAAAGACUGACGCUCAGGUGCGAAAGCGUGGGGAGCAAACA
rnacentral:rRNA from 1 species